UAAUCAACAGAUGAAUGGAUAAAGAAACUAUUCAGAUUGAAAAAAAAAAAAAGGAAGGAAUUCCUGUCAUUUUCAACAACAGGGACGAACCUAGAGGACAUUAUGUUAAGUAAAAUAAGCCAGGCACAGAAAGUCAAAUACUGCAUUAUCUCACAUGUGGAAACUAAAAAAGUUGAACUCAUAGAAGCAGAGAGUAGAAUGAUAGUUCC
rnacentral:lncRNA from 1 species